rnacentral:rRNA from 1 species
UACAGAGGUCUCGAGCGUUAGGCGGAAUCACUGGGCUUAAAGCGUGUGUAGGCGGAUCGUUAAGUACCUCGUGAAAUCCCACGGCUUAACCGUGGAACUGCUUGGUAUACUGGCGGUCUUGAGCCAGCUAGGGGCUACCGGAACAAAUGGUGGAGCGGUGAAAUGCGUAGAUAUCAUUUGGAACGCCAAUGGUGAAAACAGGUAGCUGGGGCUGUGCUGACGCUGAGACACGAAAGCCAGGGGAGCAAACGGG